AAAAACUUGGUUCCUUUUUGGGUGAAAAUUUUUGAUUUUUUUUUUUAAACUAGUGCUAGCAGGGUUUAAAGCAACCAGGUCCCAUCUUCAGAGUGCUUACAACCUUGUCACUGACUCAUUCUUUCCUCGUGGUCUCCUUUGUCUGCUGCAUCUCAUUGAAUGCUGUCUGUAAGCUCUUUGGGACAGGGACCAGCUCUUUGUUAUGGGUUUUUACUGUGUCAAACACAACGGGUCAUGAUUGUAAUCUAAAUAAUCAUCUGGCAGCCUGAUAUCUGCAAAACCUUAAGGACUGCAUGCGUGAGUGAGGGUUUGCUGCAUUGGAUCAGCUAAAUAACAAAACUACACAGGCAUAGAAUAUCAGAGUUGGAAGGGUCCUCAGGAGAUCAUCUAGUCCAACCCCCUGCUCAAAGCAGAAACAAUCCCCAAUUUUUUUUUCCCCCAGAUCCCUAAAUGGCCCCAUCAAGGAUUGAACUCACAACCCUGGGUUUAGCAGGCCAAUGCUCAAGUCAGGCAUUGAGUGGUACGGGAGAGGAUGGGAGUGAAACAAGAGAAAAUGACAGCAUGUUGCUGCUUCCAGGAAAGCUGAUUCAUUCUUACAUUCAUAGAGUUUAAGGGUAGAAAGGACCAUGCAAUAUGAUCUCCUGCAUAUCACAGACUAUUGCAUUUCAUCCAGUUACCCUUGGAAUGAGUCCAAUAACUUGUGUCUGACUUGAAGCAUGUUCCCCAGACAGGCAUCCAGUUUUGAUCAGAAGACAUCAGGAGAUGGAGAAUCUACCACUUCCAUUGGUAGUUGGUCUAAGCUCGCGAGGCACACAGCUUGGGAAAGGUGCAGUGCACCAUCACUCUACUGCUCCUAAACACACCGCGUAGCAAUGCUGAGGAGACUGGGUUAAAGCAGCCUGGCUGAGAGCGAAGGAACACAAGAAGUCAGUGAAGUGAAAAGGUUAAGGUGGGUCUGUUUGGAUUUUCUAUGGGCAGCGACAGCUCUCGCAGGUGGUCAACGAAUAGCCCAGAACCGGAGCAGAGCAAUGGAAAAGAGAACAAAACUGUCCUGUGGCAAUGGAUGGAACUGGAAGAUGGGAGCUUAAAGAUUAUUUUCUAGUCUCGUUCUCUCCUCGCCCCUUCUGAGUUGGCGGGAGGAUUUAGCCUAUGUCUGGGCGUUGGCGAACAAGGGUGGUGUUUCAGGUUCUCAUGCGCCUCGUAAUAUGGACUUCUCCAUAAAGGCUCCAUAAUGGACUUUUCCCUAGUUGUUGUUUUUCACGCCCACUCACAGCCAUUAGGUUAAGUCCUGCUGCCCCACCCCCCGCCCAGGACCCCAGGACUUUUGACAUGUUUCAUGCCCUCCCCCCCCCAACCUAGCCCAUCUCCUGGCGAAGACAUCAGGAAGUAGUGCUGGGGGAAAGGUGUUGGAGCCAGGGUGAGUCAGCAGUGACCACUGUUUGCUUUGUAACUGCAAUCACACCACAGCCUUGGUACAAAGGUCAUGGUAGUACCUCAGCUCCCCUCCUGGGUGUACUCCCUUAGACAGCAGGAAAGACUGUGGUACAGCUGCCCCUGCGAACCUUUGCAAAGCUGAGCCCCUCUUCAGGCAAAUGAAACAAGCGUCCUCCCUGGCCUAGUUUGAGGGGAGGUUAUCCGAGCUUUUCAGGGGCAGGUUUUUAAAAUAUUGUAUUCUGUGAUUCAUCUGCCUGGUUGCCUGCCGUGAGGAGGGGGAAGGCUGUUGAUCUGAGCUGGGUUGAUCUGAGCUUAUGUAUGAAUUAUACGUUGUAAAUUACGGGUAUGCUAUCCAGCCUAAGGUUAGGGCCUCUGUUGCCAGUCAAAACACAUUAAUAAAUAAUACACAUCCACACCCCGGAAGCAGUGCAGUGACUUGGCUGGUGGAGGGUUCUUUCCUAACUGGCCCUGUUGCACAGCUACCUAGUGUUUAUUGUAUUUAGGGGGGCUGAGCAUGGGAUCAGGUUUCUCCCUUUGCCAUCCAUCAUUUUAAUACAAAAUAUCUCCUGCAGUUUUUGUCGCCUUGGAGUGGCGGCCGUAGUUUAAUUUCCUGCUCCUGUUGAAAGCUCUGUGUACAGCCAUUGAUGACAUGGGUCAAUUGCACCAUCAUCAGCUGACAUAAUGCUGUUAAAGUGUCAUGUCCCCAUUGUGUGCAGAUAUGGCCAAAUCCUUCACUGCCAGCUAACAGGAAACACCAGAUUGCAGGGCUGGGAAAUCACUAGGAAGUCACCGCUGCUGACUGCAUGGAUCAGUGCUGAGGCAGGGGCCUUGAGCAGCGGGGCCCCUGAUAGCAAUUCAGGGCAGUGGGAGGGACUCACAGCACUGACCCUAUAAUGAUCCACCACCUUCCGGGUAGGCUUGGGUAAGCCAUGCUCCUCCCCACAGCUUCCCCUACUUUGUUUGUGUGGGGGGCAGUCCCCCUCCGCCUUCAAGCCACUGCUGACCUCCCACGCACACUCCCAUGAGAACCUAAACAGCGACCGGAUGCAAAAUGCAAAAUAAGAUCCAGCUUUUGCCUUCUUCUGGAGGUAAAAUUGGCAGCCCAUUGGCUACCAGACAGACAAUAUUUUUCACAGUGCCCCAGCCAAGCAGUGUGUGGUAUGUGCCACGAGACAUGGAUGGCGUGUAUCACACUGGCCCACUUCACUCAGAUGAAAGCACUGGCCUAAGUGCUCAGUCUACCAGGUAGCAGGUUAGGAGACUAAAUCUGGACAUUCCUUCGUUCAUCGAGUUUUUCUUACCUUGACACUUCUCCGGUGGGGAAAAUGUUCACCAGCUAGCUAAUCUCUAUAUCUAUUGUCGGUAUUUCUACAGUGCCCAUUAGUGUAGUGCCUUCGUGCUGAUUCUGUGGUCAUUACUGUCAAAAUGGUCACAGAUUCAUAGAGUUUAAGGGACCAUUAUGAUCAGCUAAAGUAACUCUUGUAUAACACCAAUCAGAGAUUUCAUCCCAUAAUUCCUGCUUGUAACUGAACUAGAGCAGCCAGCCAGUGUUGAUUUAAACGUUUUAGUGCCUGGCAGGCCAAGGUUUGUAAUAAUGAUAACUAGGCUGUGCUUUCUAAACCCUACCUGUAACUCGUCAUAGUUUUGGCCCAGUUAUCAUUUUCUGAGUUCUCGACACUGACACAAUCACACAUCACAUCCACGGAGCUCUGUUAAGCUAAGGUUUGACUGUGCUGAAGCUACACAGAAGCUGACUGUGGCUAUUUACAAGCCCCCCCUUCUCUCUGAAGUACAAUAGCACACUCCUUGGCACGACUUGCAGCUUUUUAAUUCUUCCUGAUCAAGAGUUUCUGUAAAUUAGGAGACUGGCAGUAAACAAUCAUUGGAAAUUUCACUAUGGCCUUUGGUUCCUUAUCCAAACUAUGGUAUGUGGCGGAGGACAUUCUUCUGUGAUGUUUACUGUGUAAUUAGGAAUGGCUGGAUGCAAACUCACAGCCUCCUCUUCUUUUUCUGUUAGCGUUUUUUAUUUUUAUGAGUGGUUUCAUGUCGCUUUGUUAUAAUAUGUCCUGGGAAGUGUGUACAUGCAGGUUAGGGGAAACAGAGAAGCUCUGGCUUCCAGUUGUUCUAUCAGCUGUAGUUUGUUGCAGGUUUUUGCCACUGGUCCAGAUGCAUCUAAGGGCUUAUCUACACUACCAGCCGGAUUGAGGGGCAGCGAUCGAUCCAGCGGGGUUGAUUUAUCGAGUCUAGUAUAGAUGCAAUAAAUCGACCGCCGAUCCCUCUAGUGUCAACUCCGGUACUCCACCUCAACGAGAAGCGCAAGGGGCAUCGAUGGCAGAGCGUCUCCCAUUGACACACCGCA